rnacentral:rRNA from 1 species
CCUACGGGAGGCAGCAGUAGGGAAUCUUCCGCAAUGGACGAAAGUCUGACGGAGCAACGCCGCGUGAGCGAUGAAGGCCUUCGGGUCGUAAAGCUCUGUUGUCAGAGAAGAACAAGUACCGGAGUAACUGCCGGUACCUUGACGGUACCUGACCAGAAAGCCACGGCUAACUACGUGCCAGCAGCCGCGGUAAUACGUAGGUGGCAAGCGUUGUCCGGAAUUAUUGGGCGUAAAGCGCGCGCAGGCGGUCCUUUAAGUCUGAUGUGAAAGCCCACGGCUCAACCGUGGAGGGUCAUUGGAAACUGGGGGACUUGAGUGCAGAAGAGGAGAGUGGAAUUCCACGUGUAGCGGUGAAAUGCGUAGAGAUGUGGAGGAACACCAGUGGCGAAGGCGACUCUCUGGUCUGUAACUGACGCUGAGGCGCGAAAGCGUGGGGAGCAAACAGGAUUAGAUACCCUGGUAGUCCACGCCGUAAACGAUGAGUGCUAAGUGUUAGAGGGUUUCCGCCCUUUAGUGCUGCAGCUAACGCAUUAAGCACUCCGCCUGGGGAGUACGGCCGCAAGGCUGAAACUCAAAGGAAUUGACGG